rnacentral:lncRNA from 1 species
CUGGCCUGCUGACUCAUGGAACCAAGAGGAGAUAUACUUCAGGUUCAAGGAGAGGGGCUGAAAGUUCUGUUAACCUUGGUGGAAGGAGCCGGGAGGCCUCUGGAUGGGAAUAGCUCCCAUUUCUGAGAGGACUCAUCACACCUAAUUUGAGUAAUUUCCUUUUCAAUUUCCUGGGCCAUUUUAUUUUACCUCUGGCUGCCCCUUGGAUGAGUGCAGUUUCCUUUGCUGUGAUAAAACACCAUCCCAAAAGCAACUAGGAGAGAAGGGUGUGUGUCAUCUUACAGCUUGUAAACCAUCAUCCAGGAAAGGCAGGGAAGGAACUCAAGGCAGGUACCUAGAGGAAAAAGAAACUUGGAGUAAGAUGAAAGAAGAAAGAGGAAAGACAAGAAAUCAAGAACUCCAAAGGUCACAAGGCAGGAACAUAAGAAAAGAAAUAAAAUUUUUCUCUUUGUAUUAAAAUUUUUAAU